UGGGGAAUAUUGCACAAUGGGCGCAAGCCUGAUGCAGCCAUGCCGCGUGUGUGAAGAAGGCCUUCGGGUUGUAAAGCACUUUCAGCGAGGAGGAAGGUGGUGAGCUUAAUACGCUCAUCAAUUGACGUUACUCGCAGAAGAAGCACCGGCUAACUCCGUGCCAGCAGCCGCGGUAAUACGGAGGGUGCAAGCGUUAAUCGGAAUUACUGGGCGUAAAGCGCACGCAGGCGGUUUGUUAAGUCAGAUGUGAAAUCCCCGGGCUCAACCUGGGAACUGCAUUUGAAACUGGCAAGCUAGAGUCUCGUAGAGGGGGGUAGAAUUCCAGGUGUAGCGGUGAAAUGCGUAGAGAUCUGGAGGAAUACCGGUGGCGAAGGCGGCCCCCUGGACGAAGACUGACGCUCAGGUGCGAAAGCGUGGGGCAGCAAACAGGAUUAGAUACCCUGGUAGUGCCAGCGCUGUAAACGAUGUCGAUUUGGAGGUUGUGCCCUUGAGGCGUGGCUUCCGGAGCUAACGCGUUAAAGUCGACCGCCUGGGGAG
rnacentral:rRNA from 1 species